CCUACGGGAGGCAGCAGUGGGGAAUCUUGCGCAAUGGGCGAAAGCCUGACGCAGCAACGCCGCGUGCGGGAAGAAGGCCUUCGGGUUGUAAACCGCUUUCAGCAGGAACGAAAAUGACGGUACCUGCAGAAGAAGGAGCGGCCAACUACGUGCCAGCAGCCGCGGUGACACGUAGGCUCCAAGCGUUGUCCGGAUUUAUUGGGCGUAAAGAGCUCGUAGGCGGUUCAGUAAGUCGGGUGUGAAAACUCUGGGCUCAACCCAGAGCCUGCAUUCGAAACUGCUGUGACUAGAGUUUGGUAGGGGAGCGGGGGAAUUCCUAGUGUAGCGGUGAAAUGCGCAGAUAUUAGGAGGAACACCGGUGGCGAAAGCGCCGCUCUGGGCCAAUACUGACGCUGAGGAGCGAAAGCGUGGGUAGCAAACAGGAUUAGAUACCCUGGUAGUCCACGCCGUAAACGAUGGGCACUAGGUGUGGGUUUCAACUAACGAAAUCCGUGCCGUCGCUAACGCAUUAAGUGCCCGCCUCGGGGAGUACGGUCGCAAGACAAAACUCAAGGAAUUGACG
rnacentral:rRNA from 1 species